rnacentral:rRNA from 1 species
UACAGAGGGUGCGAGCGUUGUCCGGAAUCACUGGGCGUAAAGGGCGCGUAGGUGGUGGCUUAAGCGUGCGGUGAAAGCUCGGGGCUCAACCCCGAGUCGGCCGUGCGAACUGGGCUCACUGGAGCAUAGUAGAGGCAGGUGGAAUUCCGGGUGUAGCGGUGGAAUGCGCAGAUAUCAGGAGGAACACCGGUGGCGAAGGCGGGUCUCUGGGCAGUAACUGACGCUGAGGAGCGAAAGCGUGGGGAGCGAACAGG